GCCUACGGGGCGCAGCAGUGGGGAAUAUUGCACAAUGGGCGAAAGCCUGAUGCAGCAACGCCGCGUGAACGAAGAAGGCUCUUGGGUCGUAAAGUUCUGUUCUGAGGGAAGAAGAAAGUGACGGUACCUCAGGAGAAAGCCCCGGCUAACUACGUGCCAGCAGCCGCGGUAAUACGUAGGGGGCAAGCGUUGUCCGGAAUUAUUGGGCGUAAAGAGUACGUAGGUGGCAACCUAAGCGCAGGGUUUAAGGCAAUGGCUCAACCAUUGUUCGCCCUGCGAACUGGGAUGCUUGAGUGCAGGAGAGG
rnacentral:rRNA from 1 species